GCUGCGUUCACAACUUCACAGUUCACACACUUUGAGAGGUCUUUUAAUUUAGAGGGCCCAAUUUAUUUUUUUUAAUGAUUUUAUAUUUAAAUAAAUAAAUAUUAAAAACUGAAUAAUAUGAAAUUAGCUCCAUACAACCAAACCUCAUCCUCCUCUUUUUUCUGCGUUCUGUGUCUCUCCUCUCUUCGGUUCUCAUCGAUCUCAGUACCUCUCUACUCAGCCACUCAGGGUCUCAGAUUGCAAAGGUCUAGGCCGUCUAGCAAUUUUGUGGGAUUCUGGGAAUUGAGAAAAUUGGAUUAGUGGAGCAGUGAGCCAACUCAGAGUCUCAGACUAUACUUCACAUUGAUUUGAGUUCAGGGAAUCAGGUUAUCUCCUUCACAUUGAUUUGCUAAUUUUGCUUGAAUUGUCUGGGGAUGUUGCUUGAAUUGAUUUGCUAAAAUUUAGAAAAUUUAGAAGCAUGCCUCCUAAAAGAAAAUGUUUAUAUCUGGAUAUGCAAAACGCUUAAAGUUAUUGAAGUCUUAUUUGUGAUCAACUAUGUCACAAGAAAUGUUAAAUGGACUUGCUUUGAUUUUGAUUGAGAACGAAUAUCUUGGAAAGAUCAAUUGUGAUAAGCUAAUUGAUCAGUUUGCAGGUAAGAAGGCAAAGAAGAUGGAUUUUCAAAUGAAUAUCAAUCAACGCUGCCAGAAUGUGUUAUUUUGAGGGUUUCAGAUCAAGCAUCUUUUUGUAAUUAUUUUUUGCUGCAAACUUUACGUUAGUAUUGAAUAUUUAGCUUCUUUUGUAGGCUCAUCUAAUGAUAUUGAUCAUACAUUGUUGGCUAUUUGAUUUUAUAUUGUGAGUUUGUUUAAGUAUAAAUUUCAUAUAAGACUAAAGCUUGGAGGGCCGCAUUUUAAAUUUCCACACAGGGCCUCCGAAAAGUUUGAGACGGCUUUGAUUAAUGAAAGUCAUACUUUGAUUAAAAAAAUCCAAUCUGACCAAAAAUUAAAACACUAAUUUGAUAUCUUAAAGGAUUAAACCAUUUUUGGAAGUGUGAGUCAAACCCCAAUAAAAGUCAGAUUGAGCAAAGCCGUUUGACUGGCAGGGAGAGGAGUCGUUCUCAUAGUGUAUAAGCUCACUUUGAAUAAGUGAGCACUGGUUGUCUAAUGAGUGGUGCUAGCAUGCCACGUCCUAGACUUGCCCAUAGAGUUGGCAAGGGAAGGUAUGUAUCCGUGUCAUUCUGACUUGAGAUGAAUGUGAAUUGAUGUGUUUUUUAACCAAAAAAAAAAUGAAAGUUUGAAAACUUUUAUGAAAAAAAAAAAUCUUUUGUUUUAAAAGUGAUACAUUUGUUAUGUGUGUGUUUUAACUUUCAAAUAUGAAUGUUUUUUCGUAUUUCCACAUGUAGAAGAAAAACAUAAUAGAGCAAUGAUACAAUAAUCCAAAACUGGCCCUUUGUUUGUUCAAGAAUGGUCUAAGAGCCUCUAGGCUCUACCUAACAUAGAACCUUCUACAGUUAAUAGUAAAAAGCAAACGAGUGAACCGACGUUCUUCCAGUAGCUAAAUCUACUAAUUAUAUUCGUGGUUUUGGUGACGCUACAAAUUCACAUAAAUAUAGCUAAAUGCCAUAAGAAACGCUUAAGUUGGCUUAAACAAGAGUAGAGCAAAAGAGAGACGCCAUUUAAAUCAAUUUGAUUCAAUACUUCAUAUGGCAGAGGUGUGCGAACAAAUGAGGCAAAGGAGUAGAGAUCUCCGCUCAUUGUUUGAGGAACAAGGUUGGAAGGUCGUCGGCAUCUGCAAAAGAGGGUGGUACAGGAUCCGAAUGAACCUCAAGAUAUAAUUCGAGACGUGUUUGUGAAUGCCAGUUGCAGGGGGUGCUGGCUGGGAUUAAAAGCUCCAAACCUUCGUCCCCAAGUUACUAGUUAUUUUGUCAAUUUGUAAGGUAUAGGCCAAUAUAAUGGGGUUAUUUAUAAUUAGUAUCUCUAUGUUAGCAUCUGCAUCCCUAAGGAUGGGAUAUAAGGUUCGGGGUCUAAUGUUUGUCCAACGAUGUAACAAUGUAUGUUCGUAUUCGAGUUUUAUGAAUGAUAGAAAAAUUAUUGGAAAACAAAGCA